GUGUAAAUACGGACUAUCAUAGAGAGUUGUCUUAUUGGCACACAUACCAUAUCUUCUUAUAUCUAUAUUUGCUAAAAGGUUAUUAUUAACAUUAAAAAAAACCAAGUAAUCUGUCCUGAAGAAUGAAGCUGCUACAUACAGGGUUUUUAUUGUUGAAUACAUGCUAAUUUAAUGCACGUACAAGGUUAUAGUACAAAUGUAGUCGACCAACUGC
rnacentral:lncRNA from 1 species